rnacentral:lncRNA from 1 species
CCAUCUGGGGAGUAAGAUGUCCCUUCUUAUUCCUGGACCCCAGAUUCCCGCUAGCCAAGGAGACCGUUGUGGUGUAUCCAGACCAUGCUAGCGGGUUUAGGAAGAUGGUGGGGACAUCCCUGUAUCUCCAUAUGAGCCUGUAAGCUGCGAAAGGAGCAGCGGGCUCUUUCAGCUACCUGUGCAUGGAAAGGAGGGUUCCCGUUCGCUAGGCGCGCAAGUGAGAGGCAGAACGGGAGUGUGCGCCAAGGUGUGUUUGCUUGUUGUCGCCGGUGCAGUGUUUCUUGUCCCUAGCGCCAGCUUCGCGCCAUCCCAGUGAGUUUGAUUGAAAUGCGACCUCAGGAAAGUGUGGAACCGGGAAGAGGGUGCUAGGCGGGAGGGAAGAGGGACGGAACCUGGAGAAAACCGGGAAGGACCGGCCAAAAGUCACCGCAGCGGCUCUGCGAGCUGCUUGGGGACUGCUAUUUUGAAAUGCGGCGACUGCCACUCCGGGGCGCAGGAUACCAGGGUCAAGUGUCACUUCCUCUGGCGGUCAAUCUCCAAUAUUCCUUGUAAUGUUUUUAAAUGGACGAAUUCAUUACUUGGGGACGUGUGAAUGGAGAGUGUUGGAGAGCCGGCUUGAUCAAUAGCGUCUACUGAUGGUUCAUUUUUCACUGCGGAGCGAGGAUCGCGGAGCUGAAGAAAGACCUAAUCAAUAACGCGCACCACGGACUGGAAAAGGUGCCCACAGUGUGUGGCCUUCUGGGGAUUUUGAGAGCUAUAUGGGGCUCUGAGGAGCAGCAGGCACCAUCUGAAAGGUUUUACAGUUCACCACAACCAUGGUGGAAUGACAAAGCUUCCUGAGAAUGCUCUUAUAUGGGGCUCUCCACCUGACCACCACUUCCCCUGUGCAGGAUGCCAGUUGGAAGCAGGAAUUGAAUCCACCAGAGUCCAUCCAUUGUUGUGAGCUCCUGGUUCUGGUGCUAUAUUCUUGUCAGUUCUCUUAUUUCUCCAGUAUUUCUCCUAUAUCUCGUCAGCACACAAUUAACAUCUCUGAUAGUUCUCUCCCCAACAAAAAAUAAAUCUGUAAAAUUUAUCUCUAGAUAAAUCUCUAGAGCCAGGUACCUGAGGUUCAAGGCUGAUAAGGAGCUCGGAUUCCUGAAUUUGGCAUCCACUGAGCAGCACCUCCAGCUAUCAGCUUCUCAACCAGCGAGGUCCCUGCAGAAGCAUCCUCAGCUGAGUCCAGAACCUGAUUUCCACUGAUCAUUCAAAUAUGGGUCCUUGUGUCAUGACUACUGAACUGGAAGCUGCUAGUACCCAGGUCGAUAAAGGCACAAAUCCAAUGGUCUUGUUAGCCGUGUCUGUGAGUUGGGCAUGGGAAAGCACUCGAGCGCACACACACACACACACACACACACACACACACACACACACACACACAGGUCCAGAUCAGUAAAGUAAGGCAGGAAAGUUCAAGUUCAGAUAAGAGGAGCAAUCCAUGUAUGGGUUACCCUCUCCAGCUACUCAGGCCCAGCAGCUGGAACACCAGAGCCUUCCUUUUCCAGAGAGUCCAUAGCUUAAAGGUCAGGAAGAGAUAGAAAAGACAGGCCUUUUUAAAGCCUUUGGAAACAACUAACUUUUAAAUGAGCCUCUACUAUGUAACCAGAAUAGAGUUUAGACCAAAGAGGUCCUGGUCUCAUCCUAUUUCCUAGAAGAUAACAGAGCCUAGAGCUCUGAGCCUUAGCAAUAUACUAAAUUAUCGAUUAGUUUUUAAAGAGGCACCCAACCAUGAAUUAGCAACCCACACCAUUAAAAUGUGGGAUCAGCAAUAUUUGGUUUUGCAGAGCCCAUUACUUCUUACACACACACACACACACACACACACACACACACACGUCUAUAUUAAAUAUGGAAAAGAAAAAGAAAUUGGAAAGAGAAACAAAAUAUUUGGCUCUCUCUCUCUCUCUCUCUCUCUCUCUCUCUCUCACUAACAAAAUUGUUAUUAACACUUUUCUCAAAUCACCCAGAGAAAGCCACAGGAAUGUUCUGCCCAGGAAUCCUGCAGCUUCUCUUUGCCGGGCAAAGAAACACAGGCAAAACCACACUCAGUUCAAACAAACCUGUGUCUCCCACAGCAAGGAGACCGGCUGUCUGGGAUCUGACAACCCUGAAGACCCUGUCUGUUGCAGCUUCCCGGGAAUCUGACAGUCUUGGGGUGGGGGGUGGGGGGAUCACCUAUCUACAUUUACAGAAAAAGACACUGAGUCUGAAAGCUAAAAGGGAAUCCUCCUGCCUCUCACUUUCUCAGCAGUUCCUCAGAAGGGGAAACUUUGAUCAACCUGCAUUUUCUUCUCCUGUGGAGCUGAGCUUCCCACAGACCCACAUUCCACUCCCAACCAGAAAGGCAAAAACAUUCCAUUUUAGAAUGGGUUUUGUCCCUUUAGUUUUCAGCCUAGAGAAAACCUUCAGAAAGCCACAGACAGACUUGAUAGCUUCCAAAUGCUUUCCGAAACGUCCUUGGCUACUCGGGGAGCUAGCUACAGCCCUCUGCCCCGAAAGUUAAUUGCAAACUUAAACGAUUAUAAAUUCUCUCUUGCCUCGCCCCAAAGACAUUGUGUUAAUUUAUAACACGCGCAAGAGCCUGAUUAACAAACCCAGACUAAAUUUACAUGUGGCAGAAAGCAACAGAUUUAGUUUUAAAAUAAUAAACGAAGCAGAUUUUUGCCAAUU